rnacentral:rRNA from 1 species
AAAGGCGAAUUAAUACCGCAUGUGGCCAGAGGGGACAUCCCUUCAACGCCAAAGUCGCAAGACGCUUCCUGAUGAGCUCGCGGCCUAUCAGCUUGUUGGAGAGGUAACGGCUCACCAAGGCUAUGACGGGUAGCUGGUCUGAGAGGACGACCAGCCACACUGGAACUGAGACACGGUCCAGACACCUACGGGUGGCAGCAGUCGAGAAUUUUUCACAAUGGGGGAAACCCUGAUGGAGCGACGCCGCGUGGAGGAUGAAGGUCUUCGGAUUGUAAACUCCUGUCAUGCGAGAACAAGAAAGUGAUAGUAUCGCAAGAGGAAGAGACGGCUAACUCUGUGCCAGCAGCCGCGGUAAUACAGAGGUCUCAAGCGUUGUUCGGAUUCAUUGGGCGUAAAGGGUGCGUAGGCGGCGUGGUAAGUUGAGUGUGAAAUCCUAGGGCUUAACCUUAGAACUGCACUCAAUACUGCCAUGCUAGAGGAAUGUAGAGGAGAGUGGAAUU